rnacentral:lncRNA from 1 species
CAAACUCUCCAGGGAAUGUUCAGGGCACAUUUCUGACCUUUUGAAUUGAGGUCGCAGAAUGAAAAUGCCAUUGUUUGUCACAAAAUGUCCUUUGUCAUUGCUGUAAAUGCCUGGGGAAUCAAAGAUCUAAAUCAGAGGGUGCUUUCUUACGCUCUGUGAUUCUGUGCAAGAGGCCUUCAGCAGGGCUGGACUUCCCUCCCAGAAGGGGAGUUUGGUGCUCAGUGGAUCCUGUCAGGUGAGAAGCCGAGACCCAGCAGAUGUGUGUGCGCACAGCGGAACCAGGAUCUGAAGCUGGACUUACCUGGAGUCCUGGAACAUGGUGAUCCCAUCUCCACUGGACCUGAGUCAGAAGCCUGCUCUAGAGGAAGCAGGAAGUACAUCUGGUUUUGGUUGGAGACGUUGCAUCCAUUCUAAUAAAGCCAAGAGUCAAACUGAAAUACUGGCUCAGGCUGAGAGGAUAUUCUGCCGUUGUAGUUUUGCUCGGGGCCAUUCGUUUUAAGAAGACUGGAGAGUCAGUUCCAGUUUGUCUUGGGGGACUAAGUUCUUAUCAUGUGGUUUCUACUGGUGGCUUAUUGAGAACACAUGCAGGUGACUCUACCACUGACUCCUACCUGGGAAGGGCACGAUGGCCCCGGAAUAGUAUGGGCAUUGGCUUCCUUCCACCUGGAGCUGCCUGCCAGGCGGCCUCCUUCCUCUGCUGGAGAUCUCUGAGCGGCUGGGCUCCCGCUUCCCCCAGGGCCUGCAGUCCCUGGCCUCCUGCAGUUACCCUGGAAGGGCCUGGCACCCUGCCCAGGGCAGAGCUGGGUUUGGAGAUGUGAUGUGUCUCUGGGGGAAGCUGGCUGAGCCCCACCAGUCUCAUUUCAAGUCAGGAACCACCACGGGUCUCCCACAUGAAGCCACAACAUCCACCGAGCCUCCACUUCGAAGACUUCACCCUGCUGCUGCUGGGUGGGUCAACGCUGGGAUGCAGAUGCCAUUUUAUGGCAAAGCUGUCUGUGAAACCAAAUGACAUUGUCCUCAAAGGAACCAAACCUGCCUCUCUUUCAGGCAGAUGACAACCAGAAAAUCAUUAGCAGGCCUAGGAUGUGAGGGAGGAGGAGAAGCCAGUGUCGUCCUUGACUGGAGCGUUGAGAAGCAGCGGUGUGGUAGAUGGGCUACUCCUACCCGAGAGUUGAGACGCAGGGGUGUGGUAGACGGGGCUGUUCCUACAGGCCCGAGGGGGCCACUAUCUGCACCUCUUCCCAACUCCACGUUCAGGGCAGGCAUGGUGGUGGCAUGAAAUCUGCCAAGCUGUGAGUAUUUACGCCAUGGGAAUUGGCAUACGCCAUAAACCAUGGCUUGCUUUUUCAGAGAGCUGACUGUGACACAAUGGAUACCAGUCAUGUUGUGGUUUAUCCUCACUGCCUCAUUCUGUCCUUCCAACCAUCCUAUUAGGCUGGCUCUGUUGUUACAGUUGAAGAAACCCAUGCUCGGAGAGGUCACAGGGCUUUCCAGAGGACCCCCAGCUUGGAGAGGGCAUGGCCAGGGCUGGAUUUGAACCCAAACCUGGAGUGCAUUACCACCCUAUUCUAUGCAGUCUCCAGGUCCUCGUUUGCAAAAUGCAAUGUGAGCUGACCUCACAGGGAUGUUGGGAGAAUCUGGAUAAUGGUUUUGGAGAAGAGGGAGCCCAGCCAGGGGUCCUUCCAGGAGGUUUAUUAUUUCUCUCUUCUCUACGGCCCUUACCUUCUAAACAUUUAGUCAAAUAUGCCUUCUCACUUCAAAGCAAAAAGCCUGUGAUCAGCAGUGAUGGCAGGAAACUAAAGAAAAAUCUGCCUCUCCUUUGGCUGGUGAGAGAUGCUUUGCUUCUUCGGGGCCUCGCCAUGGCCCUGCGCAUCUGCUUCCCUCCUCCCUCUGCCACCCCUGGCAGAUAGAAAAUUCUGCAGUGAUGGAAACACUCCAGGUCUGUGCUGUCCAAUAUGCAGCCACCCGUACACAGGGCUCUUGCGCACAUGAAAGGUGGCUGGUGUGAGUGAGGAACUGGAUUGUAAGUGUAAUUUAAUUUUAAUUAAUUAAAAUUCAGUUAUCAUGGCCAUGCGUGACUAGUUGCCACUGUCUUAGACAGAGCGACUUCAGAGUUCCGCCCCCUCCACCUUCUGGCUCAAUGCCUAGCUCUGCUUCUCCUGUCCAGCCUGGGAGUCGCCCUCUCCAUCCUCUCCACAUCAGCCUUAGUAUUUCAGGCCCUUCUGGAGGUAGCUUUGUCUCCAGAGCCCUCAGGGGCAGGGGCAGCCUGGGACAGUGCAGGCUCUAGUGAGCUCUGUAGCUGAGAAGGGGACCCCCUUUCCUGAGCGGCCUUUGGGAGUGGGGAGCCUGAGAGCAAAGGGUGUCAGGAACACACCCCAGCCUUGUGAGCUGGGACCUGCAGGGUGAGCCCAGGCCCCUGAGCUUUUAAAAGCUCCCGGGUGUUCCUGGUGCAGUGUUUCAGGCUGCAGACUUCAGGCACAUUCUUAUUUUCUUGGGCCACCCCCUCCUCCCACUUUCCCUCAUCCUGGGUCUGAAGCCUCCUCCUCUUUCUCCCCUAAGGAACUCUGUCUUCAUCUCUUUCUUUCUUUAUAUCUGUCCGGGAGCUCCUUGGCCUGGCCCACCUCCUCUGAUGGGCUCUUUCCAGCUUGAUGGCUCCUUUGAGUACCUGCCGUUCCUACCUCCUGUGGGACAUUUCCACCUGCAGGAAAUGCCAACCACACAGACUUAAAAAUCCCCGGACCGAAGUCCUCAUUUCCCCUCCUUUUUCCUCCUCUUAUCUUCUCUGCUUGUGUUAGCAGGGCCAAAUCUUCCGCGGGUCACUGAGGCUCCCAUCUUUAAAGUCAUUGCCAACUUCUCCUUCUCUCUCAACCUGACUGGAUGUUACAAAUUCCUGUGUCAUUUCCAUUCUAUUUCUUGCUUUCAAUCUUUUCUUUCACUUUCAGCAUCUCUGUUCAGACCCUUGUCUCUUCCUGGAUCUAUCUUCUGUAAACUCCAAAGCAGCCCUCACAACUCCUCAUGAUCUUCAAAACAAAGCUUUGAAAAUGAUUGGGCCCUCUGCUCAAGCCCCUCACUGCUGUCAGGAUGAGGUUUGAGUCCUUAGCAGUGCUGUCAGGAUGAGGUUUGAGUCCUUAGCAGUGCUGUCAGGAUGAGGUGUGAGUCAUUAGCAGUACAUUCAGUGCCUGCUAUUACCUUGCCCUACUUCUGUCUUUCCCCGGGACUGACUUCAUGCUCCAGCCCUGAGUGAGUAUCUCAUGGGCCAUCUGUGCACCUGGUUGGAGCUUGUGCAUCUGCAGCGUUCUGUGGUGAAGCAGUCUGAUGUUGAUGGGGAUCAUGAGGCUGUCCCUGGGAUCACUGUGAAAGCGUGCUGCAAUUGAUUAGCAAUGUCUGCUGCUGGUGAGGGUGGGGAGAGUGUGGCACAGGUACCAUGUAUUUACCAACCUGUUUUCCAACAGAUGGGGUUUUUCUCUAUAGCCUGCCCCAAAUCACUUUACACUUUCUGAUACUUGGACUUUUCCUCCAUUCCUGUCCCUUUCUCGGUAUGUUUGAAUUCUAGCAACUCUCUAAGGGCCUGCCUGAGUACUACCUUCUUUGUGAAGUAUUCCUUGUGUGCAGCUGAUGUUGAAGACAGAAAAAUGUAUAUAGAUAAUUCAGCCAGAGACCAAGGGGCAGCCCCUGGUGGAGUGUUAAGCCAGAUGUUCCCAAGCACAGGCAUGGCCAGCCGCAGCCACAUCAUGGGUCAGAGUCCUGGGCCCCAGCUUGGACUCUCCUGUGAUGGGGUCAGAGAUUGGCAUUUUUAACAAGCUCCCAGGUGAUUCUUAGGCAUUACUUGGUGAGAGAACUCCUGUUAGAAUGCCUAAGAGUAAAAUUCUGCCACGCUGUCCCAGAGCUGAGACCUCAGUCGCUGCUUCUCAAACCAUUACAUUUAAUGGCAAAAACUGCAAUCGCUUUUGCCCCAACCUGCAGGGCAGGACCAGUUGUUAAAAAUUCCUUGAUCUAAUGUGAACCAAAAUUGCAAUUAAAAUGUUAGUGGGCAUUUCCCCAUUUUUGUCAUGAUAUAGAUGGAUACUGAAUUUCUUAUCUUUGAAUCAUUUAUUGCUCAGAACUCAAGUAAGCAUGCCAGCACUUCCUAUGUUCGUGCUGGAGGGGAAAUGUUUUACUUUUUACUGGAGAAGACAAGACAGGGUGAUUUUCAUGCUAUUGUUUUAUACACAUGACAACAACAUAUCUUGCCUUAUGUAAAGGCAAGUUCAUAUUUGUAGAUAAUUUAUCUUUUCUUCCUCCACUAAACAUAUGCAGUAAUCACUCAACUGGAAGGUGAGUAUUUAUUUUGUUUUUAAGGAGAGCCACUUUCUAACUGAAGAUGAUUGAUACAGGGAAAAGUUUGUACUACAAUAUAUACCUCAUAUAUUUGACUGCAGGUUAUAAAAUUUUUUAAAAUGGGCUGGGUGCGUUGGCUCAUGCCUGUAAUCCCAGCACUUUGGGAGGCCAAGGUGGGUGGAUCACCUAAGGUCAGGAGUUCAAGAUCGGCCUGGCCAACAUGAUGAAACGCUGUGUCUACUAAAAAUACAAAAAAUGAGCUGGACACGGUGGCAGGUGCCUGUAAUCCCAGCUACUGGGGAGGCUGAGGCAGGAUAAUUGCUUGAAACUGGGAGGUGGAGGUUGCAAUGAGCCAAGAUUGUGCCACUGCACUUCAGCCUGGACAACAAGAGUGACACUUUGUCUCAAAAAAUAUUUUUUAAAAUCUCUAAUUAAUAUAUUUGGAACUGAUUCAUAAGAAAGACUAUGCAAACUGUCCUGAAAAUGAAAAAAAGUUUGAAUCCAUUGCACACUGCUACUUUUAUAAAAUAAUGUAAAAAUGAAUUACUGGAAAAAUACAAUAAAGAUAUAAAAAUAUAAGCCCAACUUUAGACCUCAAAGUACUCUGUUGAAUUGCUGUAA